CAAGAAAUUCACCAGGUUCUCAAGUAGCCAGUAAUCCGAGACAAGCAGCCUAUGAAAUGAGGAUGCAGAAUAAUUCUAGUCCUUCAGUAUCUCCUAAUACGAGUUUCACUUCUGAUGGCUCCCCGACUCCGAUAGGAGGAAUUAAGCAAAAAGCAGAAGACAGUGACAGUGAACCUGAACCAGAGGAUAACGUCAGGCUUUGGGAAGCUGGUUGGAAGCAGCGGUACUACAAGAACAAAUUUGACGUUGAUGCAGCUGAUGACAAAUUCCGUUGUAAAAUUGUACAGUCUUACGUUGAAGGGCUCUGCUGGGUUCUUCGAUAUUAUUACCUGGUACAAAAUGAAUA